rnacentral:rRNA from 1 species
GAUGAACGCUGGCGGCGUGCCUAAUACAUGCAAGUCGAGCGCGAGAUUGAGGAGCUUGCUCCUCAUGAUCGAGCGGCGGACGGGUGAGUAACACGUAGGCAACCUACCCUUGAGAUUGGGAUAACUACCGGAAACGGUAGCUAAUACCGGAUACGACUUUACUGCAUAAGCAGUUCAGUUAAAAGGCGGAUUUAUCUGCCGCUCAUGGAUGGCCUGCGGUGCAUUAGCUAGUUGGUGAGGUAGUGGCUCACCAAGGCGACGAUGCAUAGCCGACCUGAGAGGGUGAUCGGCCAGACUGGGACUGAGACACGGCCCAGACUCCUACGGGAGGCAGCAGUAGGGAAUCUUCCGCAAUGGACGAAAGUCUGACGGAGCAACGCCGCGUGAGUGAUGAAGGGUUUCGGCUCGUAAAACUCUGUUGUUAAUGAAGAACACUUGAGGUAGUAACUGGCCUUGAGAUGACGGUACUUAACCAGAAAGCCACGGCUAACUACGUGCCAGCAGCCGCCGUAA